GAACUCCCGCAGGGCUGCACCGGCACCGGUGUCUAUCCCCCCCCUCUCAAUGGGCGAAAGCCUGACGGAGCAAUGCCGCGUGGAGGUGGAAGGCCUACGGGUCGUCAACUUCUUUUCUCGGAGAAGAAACAAUGACGGUAUCUGAGGAAUAAGCAUCGGCUAACUCUGUGCCAGCAGCCGCGGUAAGACAGAGGAUGCAAGCGUUAUCCGGAAUGAUUGGGCGUAAAGCGUCUGUAGGUGGCUUUUCAAGUCCGCCGUCAAAUCCCAGGGCUCAACCCUGGACAGGCGGUGGAAACUACCAAGCUGGAGUACGGUAGGGGCAGAGGGAAUUUCCGGUGGAGCGGUGAAAUGCAUUGAGAUCGGAAGAACACCAACGGCGAAAGCACUCUGCUGGGUCGACACUGACACUGAGAGANNNNNNNNN
rnacentral:ncRNA from 1 species